GGUGUUGUGGCUCAUGGUGGAGUGGUUUGAGUGUUGGACUAUGACUCUGGAGACCAGGGUUCAAUUCUCAGCUUCAUCA